UUUAGUUUCCGCGCCCUAUUA
rnacentral:siRNA from 1 species